ensembl:lncRNA
GUCUUCCUUGAGAAGGAAUGAGUCUCCGGUGGUUAUUAAAGCCUACGAUGAAAAGAGAAGAAGACCUUGGAGACAUUUCUACUGAGGAAUGAUAUAAACUCUGCUGAUUUACUCUGCUGGCAUUUACAAAGCCCUCCUCUCAGGAUAAGAACAUUCAUCCCCACGCCUCCCUUGUAGUGGUGCUGAUCAUCUGUGAUCGAUGUGAUCAACAAGUUAUUGAUCAGCGUUGACGGCAUCACAGGCGGUGAGCAGAGGUUUAUGAUACAGGAUAUUUCACUGUGGAUAUCCUAACCUUUGGUCGUGGCACCACCCUGGUUGUUACAGACAGGUCAGUGGAGCUGCCAGUGGUGCGGCCCAAUGUGAGCGUCUACCCAGCGACGGGAGCUGAUUUAAAGGGCCGGCGCUCCCUGCUGUGUGUAGCCAGAGACAUGGUCCCUGAGGAGGUCCGGG